rnacentral:rRNA from 1 species
AUGCCUUAUGAAGCAUGUUCCAGCUCGCAUGCCUACAUCCAAUGCGCAAACGUGUCAUCCUUGUCCUUGUUGAUGGUGAGGACCAUUGUGAUUCAUGCCGAUCGCAUCCUGGUAGGUAGCAAUGCACUGUGGGUGCAUUUAUCACCAGCCUCACAUGAUGCUCUGGCUGUCGCUGGUCUGUUGUGGUGCCAGGUGCAUUUUGAGAGAAAUGCUAACUCGGAUCUAGUGUCUUACCUGACCACGACAGCGUUGAUGCAUCACUUACCUCGAUGGAGGCGUGAUCAUAGAGUUGCAGAUAUGUUUUAA